rnacentral:tRNA from 1 species
GCCUGGGUGGCUCAGUCGCUUGAGCGUCUGACUCCGGCUCAGGUCGAGAUCUCGCAGUCCGUGAGUUCGAGCCCCACAUCGGGCU